GUAACAAGGUUUCCGUAGGUGAACCUGCGGAAGGAUCAUUACUGAAAGAUGAUAGGGUUUGAGCUCUUUGUGUGCUCGACUCUUACUCUUAUCCAUUACACACCUUUGUGCACCAUGGGACGAAUUAAAGUCCCCUUAUUUACAAUAAAGACCCAGUUAUAUGCAUGUUGUUAUACGCUCUACGGAGUAAUGUACAACUUUCAACAACGGAUCUCUUGGCUUUCGCAUCGAUGAAGAACGCAGCGAACGUGCGAAACGUAAUGUGAAUUGCAGAAUUCAGUGAAUCAUCGAAUCUUUGAACGCAUCUUGCGCUCCUUGGUAUUCCGAGGAGCAUGCCUGUUUGAGUGUCGUGAAAUACUCAAUUUCAAUUUUGAAAUUGGAUUUGGGUGCUGUUGUGGACAUUCUACAACUCAUCCUAAAUGCAUUAGCGAUCUGCCUCUGAUCACAUGCAAUGUGAUAAGAAAAAAAGCAUUGUAAGGAUCGGGGUUUAAUAUUUGCUUCUAACCGUCGAAAGACAAAGCGCAUAUAUAUGUCAUUUGACCUCAAAUCAGGUAGGACUACCCGCUGAACUUAAGCA
rnacentral:rRNA from 1 species